ensembl:lncRNA
AUGGGCUCUGUGAUGGACAGAUGCUGGUUUUCUUCACUGGUACGGGAGAAAAUGGGGAUCCUGAGAGAUUCCAUGGAGAAGCUUCCAGCAACCUGGGCCUGGAUCCCAGCCCGCAUCUGCUCAGAUGUUAACACAGUUGUGGGCGCUGAGUAUCUACAGCUCGUAGUCCGUCGGAGGGACCCAUGUGCUCCAGGACGCAGCCUCGGAGCCAGGGAGGCGGUAUCAUGCACCGACGAUGGCAAGGGCUCCUGGAAGCCCCUGGGGCAAAAGCUCUUAGCAGUGCUCAUGGCUCCCACACCGGAAAGUGGACACAGUACAGUGCUUUGCCACCUCCAGGCCCGUGCAGAGCAGCGGGCAGCCCAUAUCACUCUCCUAAGCCAUCUCUCUGCAGGGGGCAGCUACCAUCCAAGUCCCCCAUCCAGGAGUUCCCAUAUGGGGACAGCCUCUGGCAGCCCAGCUGAGCUGCUGUCCCUAGCAAACACUGCAGGCCUCCGCCUCAGAGAGCUUUCAGUGGCAGCAGCCCCGUGGGCAACUACUGGGAGACCCCAACCGAGAGCCCCCAGACACGCCCUCCGGACUCCUGGCCAGUGGGACGAGAUGCACUUCUGCCCGCUGAGAAGAUCCUCGGCAUUGAUGUCCAGUUCUGCGGUAUGGAACCCGGACGGAGAGAGCAGGACCCCAGCAUGAAAGUAGCAAUGGACGCCACAGCAAAGCAUCCACGUUUCACAAUCACGACUUCCAGGAGCAAACCGAGCCUCUCCAGCAGCAGGGUGAGAGGUGACAGGGCACAGUUGAGGAGUCCUGGGGCUGCCGUGAUAGGGGUGCCCACACAGGUCUUCAACAACGGCCGUCCACUCCCUCGCAGUCUGGAGUCACAGAUGGACAUGUGGCAGGGCCGCGCUGCCUCUGAAGGUUCUGCAGGAGGACCCUUCCUGUGUCUUCCACUCCCGGUGGCUCCAGGUGUCCCUGGCUUGUGACCGCAUCACCCCACUGUCUGCUCUGUCGUCUCAGCCUCCUCCUCCUCUCUGUGUCUGUGUCUGGAUUUCGGUCUUCCUGUGAGGACACCCGUCACCAGGUUCGGGGCCCACCCUGCCCCCAUAUCUCAUCUGAACUAAUUCCACCUGCAAAGAGCCUAUUUCCAAAUAAGGUCACAUUCUGAGGUUCUGGAUGGACGUGAAUUUGUGGGGGACACUGUCUAACCCUGAACAUACGGUGUCGGAAGCCGGCACUGCAGGAACUGAGAUGAAUCUGUUUCCAUCUCUGCGUUUCCUGGACGCCCCAGACAGCCUUAGAGCCGCGGGGAGGCCGCAGUGCCGCCAGCCAGGCUGGAGACCCCUGAGCAGGUGUCCAGGCAGGUCCCAGGGCAGGAGGGCAGUGGGCACAGAGGAGGGAGGCCAGGCUGUUCCCUGCUUCUCCUCCCCGUUCUCCUUCUCCACUGGAAAGUUCCAGGGAAGAGUCAUUUGGAGGAGAGCGAGGACUCAGUAGGGCUAUUGCCCUGGAGAGGAGGCGGGUGAGGAAGGAGAGCCCGGCGUGGCUCUCGGAGGGUUCACAGGGAGUGGGAGUCGAAUGCCCGGGAGGAACGAGGGCCCUCUCCAGGAAGAGAAUGUCUCCAAACCCUCAGAACCCUCCGCGGACCUCACUGCCAAACAAAUAAAAAUGUUUUCUCAAGUUCCAUCCGCAGCUUCAGGACGACCCUGCGUGGGGGAGCUGUUUGUUUGACCCGUCUGGGCCUGCGUGAACCUGAAGACAUGGGCCCCGGCCGGAGAGGAGGGGCCUGUGGUCACAGCCCGGUCACCAGCCCGGUCUCGGGUUCUUGGCCCCAUGACAGGCGCUAAAGCAAGGCAAGGGGGCUGGGGUCGCUGUGUGCUGUGCCACGUGGGAGGACGCGUGUUAGAGGCACACAGCCAGUGUCGGUCCCUCCCUUUGUCACUGGCCAGUGGUGGUCUGCCCCCAGUCAGCUGUUUCCCUUCCACAGGCCUCAGUUCCCCUCUGAAAACCCCAGCAUCACCAGCCAGUGGUAAAAAUUAAA